ensembl:snoRNA Gm24443 predicted gene, 24443
ACAGCGCUUAGAAGUAUUGCAGGUGCGGCUCACAUGUCACAUGCUUGUGAGUUGAUGGCAGAGAGGAAAGAGGCUAUGCCUGUUCUCAGGGUUCUGACCUGUAGACAUCUGAAUGAUUAGUAGCCUAACAGU